CCUGAACGCUGGCGGCGUGGCUAAGACAUGCAAGUCGUACGGGCGUAGCAAUACGUCAGUGGCGCACGGGUGAGUAAUGUAUAGCUAUCUACCCUGGAACCUGGGAUAGCUGUCCGAAAGGACAGGUAAUACCAGAUGAAAUAACGGUGUCGCAUGGCACUGUUCUCAAAGGGCAACUAUCUGGGAUGAGGCUAUAUUGU
rnacentral:rRNA from 1 species